CAGUCGCCACGGUAAUGCGAAGGGUGCAAGCGUUAAUCGGAAUCACUGGGCGUAAAGCGUGCGUAGGCGGUGAGUUAAGUCUGCUGUGAAAUCCCCGGGCUCAACCUGGGAACUGCAUUUGUGACUGGCGGGCUAGAGUAUGGCAGAGGGGGGUAGAAUUCCACGUGUAGCAGUGAAAUGCGUAGAGAUGUGGAGGAAUACCGAUGGCGAAGGCAGCCCCCUGGGCCAAUACUGACGCUCAUGCACGAAAGCGUGGGGAGCAAACAGGAUUAGAUACCCCUGUAGUCCCUGUCUCUUAUAC
rnacentral:rRNA from 1 species